rnacentral:piRNA from 1 species
UCAAAUGUUACAUUUGGAGCUCAUAUUUGA